GAUGAACGCUGGCGGCGUGCCUAAUACAUGCAAGUCGAGCGAACGGACGAGAAGCUUGCUUCUCUGAUGUUAGCGGCGGACGGGUGAGUAACACGUGGAUAACCCACCUAUAAGACUGGGAUAACUUCGGGAAACCGGAGCUAAUACCGGAUAAUAUUUUGAACCGCAUGGUUCAAAAGUGAAAGACGGUCUUGCUGUCACUUAUAGAUGGAUCCGCGCUGCAUUAGCUAGUUGGUAAGGUAACGGCUUACCAAGGCAACGAUGCAUAGCCGACCUGAGAGGGUGAUCGGCCACACUGGAACUGAGACACGGUCCAGACUCCUACGGGAGGCAGCAGUAGGGAAUCUUCCGCAAUGGGCGAAAGCCUGACGGAGCAACGCCGCGUGAGUGAUGAAGGUCUUCGGAUCGUAAAACUCUGUUAUUAGGGAAGAACAUAUGUGUAAGUAACUGUGCACAUCUUGACGGUACCUAAUCAGAAAGCCACGGCUAACUACGUGCCAGCAGCCGCGGUAAUACGUAGGUGGCAAGCGUUAUCCGGAAUUAUUGGGCGUAAAGCGCGCGUAGGCGGUUUUUUAAGUCUGAUGUGAAAGCCCACGGCUCAACCGUGGAGGGUCAUUGGAAACUGGAAAACUUGAGUGCAGAAGAGGAAAGUGGAAUUCCAUGCGUAGCGGUGAAAUGCGCAGAGAUAUGGAGGAACACCAGUGGCGAAGGCGACUUUCUGGUCUGUAACUGACGCUGAUGUGCGAAAGCGUGGGGAUCAAACAGGAUUAGAUACCCUGGUAGUCCACGCCGUAAACGAUGAGUGCUAAGUGUUAGGGGGUUUCCGCCCCUUAGUGCUGCAGCUAACGCAUUAAGCACUCCGCCUGGGGAGUACGACCGCAAGGUUGAAACUCAAAGGAAUUGACGGGGACCCGCACAAGCGGUGGAGCAUGUGGUUUAAUUCGAAGCAACGCGAAGAACCUUACCAAAUCUUGACAUCCUUUGACAACUCUAGAGAUAGAGCCUUCCCCUUCGGGGGACAAAGUGACAGGUGGUGCAUGGUUGUCGUCAGCUCGUGUCGUGAGAUGUUGGGUUAAGUUCCGCAACGAGCGCAACCCUUAAGCUUAGUUGCCAUCAUUAAGUUGGGCACUCUAAGUUGACUGCCGGUGACAAACCGGAGGAAGGUGGGGAUGACGUCAAAUCAUCAUGCCCCUUAUGAUUUGGGCUACACACGUGCUACAAUGGACAAUACAAAGGGCAGCGAAACCGCGAGGUCAAGCAAAUCCCAUAAAGUUGUUCUCAGUUCGGAUUGUAGUCUGCAACUCGACUACAUGAAGCUGGAAUCGCUAGUAAUCGUGGAUCAGCAUGCUACGGUGAAUACGUUCCCGGGUCU
rnacentral:rRNA from 1 species